rnacentral:rRNA from 1 species
UACGGAGGGUGCAAGCGUUAAUCGGAAUUACUGGGCGUAAAGGGUGCGCAGGUGGUUUGAUAAGAUAUCUGUGAAAUCCCCGGGCUCAACCUGGGAAGGUCAGAUAAGACUGUCAGACUCGAGUAUGGGAGAGGGUAGUGGAAUUUCCGGUGUAGCGGUGAAAUGCGUAGAGAUCGGAAGGAACACCAGUGGCGAAGGCGGCUACCUGGCCUGAUACUGACACUGAGGCACGAAAGCGUGGGGAGCAAACAGG